AGUUCAGUCACAUAAUAGGAAGUAUACUAGUGUACUUACAGUACAUCACAUCUGUGACCUCACAGCUACCACCCAAAGGCAGUGUCAUAGCUGUCUCACAGUAUAGAGCAGGAAACUGGGAGCCAGCAUUACAUUAGCCUCCAGCUCCUUGUUGAAAACAGAUAACAUCAGAAAUCAUGGCUCGUCGUCAGAUCAGGAUGCACAAACAGAGGAGGCACAGGAGACCUCGUACUAGAGGUCCCAAUCGCAGACACCGUUAUUAUUAUCGGAGACGGGCAUAUUAAACAAAUGUGACCAUUUCUUCCUGUGACUGGUGCCAGCUGCUCCUGACAUCAUCACCUGGUGGACGAUGAGCAGCACAGAACACAAGGAUGCAUGGCUACACAGCCCGCCGCUACAUGACACAGCAGGAAACAUGUAGUAAAUAAACAACCCUGAGCAGCA